rnacentral:rRNA from 1 species
AUUGAACGCUGGCGGCAGGCCUAACACAUGCAAGUCGGGCGCGCGGCGGACGGGUGUGUAAUGUAUGGGGCUGUGCCUGAUGGAGGGGUAUCACUACUGGACACGGUAGCUAAUACCGCAUACCCUCAGAUGCACCCAUAGGGGAUUAGCUUGUAGGGGAGGGAACGGCUCACCUAGGCGACGAUCCCUAGCUGGUCUGAGAGGAUGAUCAGCCAAACUGGGACUGAGACACGGCCCAGACUCCUACGGGAGGCAGCAGUGGGGAAUAUUGCACAAUGGGCGCAAGCCUGAUACAGCCAUGCCGCGUGUAUGAAGAAGGCCUUCGGGUUGUAAAGUACUUUCAGUCGGGAGGCGUUACCGACAGAAGAAGCACCGGCUAACUCCGUGCCAGCAGCCGCGGUGAUUC